UACGUAGGGGGCUAGCGUUGUCCGGAAUCAUUGGGCGUAAAGCGCGCGUAGGCGGCCCGGUAAGUCCGCUGUGAAAGUCAAAGGCUCAACCUUUGAAUGUCAGCGGAUACUGCCGGGCUAGAGUCCGGAAGAGGCGAGUGGAACUCCUGGUGUAGCGGUGGAAUGCGCAGAUAUCAGGAGGAACACCGGUGGCGAAGGCGGGUCUCUGGGCCGAUACUGACGCUGAGGUGCGAAAGCGUGGGGAGCAAACAGG
rnacentral:rRNA from 1 species